AGUGAACGCUGGCGGUAGGCCUAACACAUGCAAGUCGAACGGCAGCACAGUAAGAGCUUGCUCUUACGGGUGGCGAGUGGCGGACGGGUGAGGAAUACAUCGGAAUCUACUUUUUCGUGGGGGAUAACGUAGGGAAACUUACGCUAAUACCGCAUACGACCUACGGGUGAAAGCAGGGGAUCUUCGGACCUUGCGCGAUUGAAUGAGCCGAUGUCGGAUUAGCUAGUUGGCGGGGUAAAGGCCCAGCAAGGUGACGAUCCGUAGCUGGUCUGAGAGGAUGGUCAGCCACACUGGAACUGAGACACGGUCCAGACUCCUACGGGAGGCAGCAGUGGGGAAUAUUGGACAAUGGGCGCAAGCCUUAUCCAGCCAUACCGCGUGGGUGAAGAAGGCCUUCGGGUUGUAAAGCCCUUUUGUUGGGAAAGAAAAGCAGCAGGUUAAUACCCCGCUGUUCUGACGGUACCCAAAGAAUAAGCACCGGCUAACUUCGUG
rnacentral:rRNA from 1 species